rnacentral:lncRNA from 1 species
CUUCUUAAAGUUUUAUACUUUUAGUCUUUCAUAUUUAGGUUCAUAGAUCCUUUCAAGUUAUUUUUGUGUAUGGAAAUAAAGGUUUGAGGUUGAUUUUUUAUAUAUGGAUACCAGUGUUCUAGUGCCAUUUGCUGAAAACAUUAUCUUUUCCUCUGCUCUUGAAUUGAAUUUAUGUUCUAUAAAAUAUUACUGUUAAAUAAUCUCUCAAAACUCAGUGGACCAUAUAUGUGUGGUUCUAUUUCUAGAUUCUCUGUCUUAUUCCAAUGAUCUAUAUGUCUUUCCUUAUGCCAACACUGCCUUGAUUACUAUAGCUUUAGAGGAAGUCUUAAAAUUAGGUACUAAAUAUCUUCCAACACUGCUUUUUUUUCUUUUUUACUCUUCUAGGUCCUUUGUACUCCUACAUAACUUUUAAAUUUCAAUAUCCAAUUCUUCAUUUAUAGCAAGUAUACACAGACCUGAAUUUUUACAUAUACCUUGUGUUUUUUGUUUGUUUGUUUGUUUGUUUUUGUUUUUGUUUUUGUUUGGUACUGGGGAUCAAACUCGGGUCCUUGCACUUGCACAGCACGCAGCUAAAUCCCCGGCCCUACCUUGUGUUUUCUAAUCCUGCUAAAUUCAAAUACAAGCUCCAGGGGCUCCUAGAGAUUUCUUAGUAUUUUCUCUGUAGAUUAUCAUUUCAUCUACAUAUAAAGAUUUUACUUAUAUCUUCACAAUCCUAUCCUAAUUGUGUCAUUUUAUUGCCAGACUAUUUUGGUUUGGGCUUAUGUUUCAAAAUUUAAUGGACUGAUGAAGAGUGGGCAUAUCUGCCCUUGUUCCCCACCUUAGGGAGAAAGCAUUGUAUCUUCACCAUUCAUAUAAGGCAUUUUUGCUGGAAGUAUGGAGUACAUGUCUUUGAUCUGUUGGGAGGGUUCUGUUCUGCUUCUAGUCUCCUGAUAGCUUUUACCAUGAGCGGCUGUAGAAUUUAGUCUAAUACUUUUUCUCCAACUACUGACAGGAUCAUGUGACUUUUUCCUUUCCUCUGUUAAAAUGAUAACUUUUGGGGGUGGAUCUUUCAAUGCUGAACCAACACUGCCAUCCCUAUAACAAAACCACUUUCUACAUACUGUCAGAUCUGACUUCUAAUUGUUUUGUUAAACAAAUUUCUAUCUAUGUUCAUACUUUUUUCUUCUAUUACCUUUAUCCAGUUUUAGGAUUAGCAGAAUGUUGAUUUCCUAAAAUGAGGGGAUAAGUAUUCCUUCUUUUUUCUGCUUUAAAUGUUUGAUAUAAUUUAUCAGUUAAAAUGUAUAUGAGCCUGUUGUCAUAUAGGUAGGUUUUCAAGCUAGGGUUAUACUUUCUUUAAUAGGUACUAUUCAAAUUUAAUAUUUCCUCCAGAGUUAGUUUCAUCAAUUUGUCUUCAAAGGUACUUCUUAGAAGUUAUCAAAUUUAUUUCAAAAAAGAUUUUUGUAAUAUGCUUUCUACACCCUUUUAAAUUCUGCAAAAUCUGGGGUAAUGUAUUCUAGAUCUUGAUAUUGUAACUUAAACAGAUGCAUAAUUGAUAUUGUUUAAUAGGAAGAAAAGGUCUAAAGGAGUAGGGGAAGUGAGAGGGGUAGGGGAAAGGAAACAAGGGAAAAGAAAAAAGAUGAGAAAAGGAAAAAAAUGGAAACAAAGUCUUUGUAAAUAGCGAAGGGUGGAGGGGGUGAAGGGAGGGCAGGGGAAGAGGAAAAAAAUAAGAACCAAGAUACAUCAUGUAAAGGUACAAGAUCCUAAUGAUGAAUGUAACUGUAUUUUAUACGUAAAAUGUACCAAUAAACUUAUUGAAAAAAAGUUUUUUAGUAUGUGUUUUACAGUGCAUAAUGUUUACAUUCCUUGUGGGGAGUUGGUACAUAUGUGUAACACAUCUCAAUUGUUUUUUCCCCUUUCUCUCCAUUCACCUUAAAAAAUUUUUUUUGCCAGCAUCAGAUUCACUUAUUUAUUUUAUAAAUCCUUAUUAAGUUGAUUAUCAUAAAUUUAGAUUAACAACCAGAAUAACAGGCCAAAAAAACCCAUAUAAAAUAUUGUAUCCUUCUACUUUAGAUUUAUUAUUUUUAAAAAGACUAUAGUUGAGUUUAUCAGUUUGGGUGUGUUUUUGUUUUCUUUCUUUUUUUUUGAUACACAUGGACAAUCUUAAUCUUUUUUAUAGGGCAAUUAGUCUAUUUACACAUUUAAUAUUUGUGUUUAAUUCUACCAUUUUAGUUUAUGCUUUCCAUCGUGUCAGUUAUUCUACUUCUCUCUGUGUCCCUCUUUCCCUCUCUCCUUUCUUUUUUAAUGUAUUGAUUUUAUUAAUUUGAACUUCUCCUCGUUGGAUUUUUCACUUUUACUUUUAGAAUAAAAGUCUUUAUGUUGCCUUCAUUUUUGCUGACUAUAGAAUUCUAGGUAGGCAGUUAUUUUAGAAUAUUGAAGAUAUUUUUGUGUUAGGGCUGGUUUUUUUGGGUGUUGUUUUUGUUUUUCUAGAAGUCAGUUACUACUCUAUCAUGCCUUUGAAAGUAAUCUUUUUCUCUAGUUUAAGAUUUUUCUUUCUUUUGGCUUUUCCUGCAAGCCAAAAUGUGGAUCUCUUUAUAUUUAUUCUAUUAGGGAUUGAUAGACUCCUGAAUUUGUGAAUUGCUAUCUUUAAAAUCUAGAAAAUUAUUAGCAAUUUCUCUUCAAUUAUUGCCUAUAUUACAUUCCUCUCUAUUUCCUUCUUUUUUUUAUUAAGUUUAUUGGUACAUUUUAGGCAUACAUUAUGAUCACAUUCAUCAUUGGGAAUUUGUACCUGUACAUGAUGCAUCUUGGUUCUUGUUUUUCCCAUUCCCCUUCUCUCCCUUCCACCCCUCCACCCCUCCCUAUUUUGUUUGUUUUUUCCUUCUUUUCUCAUGUUUUUUUCUUUCUCUUCUUUCCUCCCCCCCCCCCGUUCCACUUCCACUUUGGACCUUUUCUUCCUAUUUCACACUGUUAUACAUUUUGGUCCUCAUUUAUAUGUUCACUCUUUGAUAUGAUUAGAGGCAUCUGUCUCUAGGACAUAACAUUGUGCUAAGUGUUGACAAACUGACUUAUGGGUCAGCCCUGUUUCCAUAAGUAAAAUCUGAAUACAGCUCUGAUUAUUUAGACCUAAGCUCCCCACUGCCUUCUUUCUAAAUUACAAUGAGAGAGUUGAAUAAUUACAAUAGAGACAAUAUGGGCUUUAAGAUCUAAAAUUAACUUUUUGGCCUUUUAACCAAAAGUUACCAAUCUGUACUCUUGUUUUUAUCAUCUUGUCUGUUUUCUUCCUCAUCCUUUUAGUCUUUCCUGAUACUUCUUAUUUAUAUUCCAGUUCCCUAGUCUGUUUUUUUCUAUAUCUGAUCUAGUGCUAAACUUAUACAUUAAAUAUGUAAUUAUGGUUACUGUAUAUUUUCUUUCUUUUUUUUUUGGCACCAGGGAUCGAACUGAGGACCUCGCACUUGCGAGGCAGGCAGCAGCACCACUGAGCUAAAUUCCCGGCCAGGUUACUGUAUAUUUUCAUUUUACAAUUUCCACUCAGGUUUUAUUUUCAAAUCCAAGUCAUUUACUUCCCACCUGAAAUGUUCAAGCUUUUCAUUUUAUCUUUAAAGACAGGAAACAUGAUUUUGGUGUCUGUGUCUGGUACUUUCAUUGUCUUAAAUUUUUGUGGAUUUAUUUCUGUGGUCUUUUUUUUUUCAAAACCUGCUUUUUAUUCCUAUAGAUUUCAACUUACUCUCUUGGUUUUAUUUGUAGAAAUAAUCUGAGCCUAGAUUAAAAACACCUGCGUUCACCAAGAAUUUUAAUUUGCUCUGACAUUCUGUGGCUGCCUUAGUUGAAGUUCUAGGCUUGAGAUUCCCAGAAUCACUCAUGUGAAGGACUCUGUUACUUCCAAUUCACUUCUGCUCUAGCAGCAGUUCCUAAGUCUACACUUGUCCUCACAUUUCACCUGGGAAACCUCAACAGCUACUAAGCCUCUGUCCUAUGGUCAAAGGUUGAGAUUUGAUUGGUCUGUGGUGUGGACUGGGCUUCAGAAUUUUUUUGUUCUUGAUUUUGCUUCAGAAUUUUUUAAAGCUCUCUAGUGAUUCUAACAUGCAGACCACUUUGUAAGGUGGUGCUCCCAGUGCAAUGCUGUUAGGGACCUCAACUUAAUGUAUGGUUAUCUAUCAGACUCUGCACUCUGCAAUCCCUUUUAUCUGUUCUGCCCAGUGGGCCUGCCAAAUACCACAGCUGCAUGUUGCUGCUGUCUUUUCCGAUAGCUGCAAAAGCAUCCUUUGGGUACUUGCGUCUCAGAGUGUCACAAGUUUUUGACAUGGAAAUCUUUCACUAAUUUAUUAGCUCUUCAAUAUUUUUUCAGAAAAAUUGUAUGUAGAUAUAUCCAUAUAUUAUUUGUAUGUAUUUCAUACAGCUGUGUUAGUCGACCUCAACAAGAGGGGUGAUAUAGUCUGGUGUUAAAAGAAUUAAGUCUUCCAGUUGCUUUUUUAAUAGGAGGAAUAAGGGAGUUUUAGAGUUCUUACCUUUCGGAAAAUGUCUUUAUUUACUUUCUGGAAUCAUAAUUUGGCUGGGAUUUGAAAUCUAAGUUGAAAUUUAGUUUUUCUUUAAAUAUUUGAAGGCACUGUCUUGAUCUAUUUUAACAUUCAUUAUAGCUGUUGAAUGAUCCUAUUCAUUGUUUAUGCUCUUCCCCUUGUAAAUCACUUUCCCUCUCUGGGAAAUGAUUAGGAUUUUCUCUUCCCUUGGGAUGCUGAUAUCUCACAAUCACAUAUAUAGAACAGGCCUUAUUUCAUUCAUGUUUCCAAGCAUAAAAAGGGACAUAUUUGAUCUGAAGAUUUUAAUUUCUGCUGCUGGGAAAUUUUAUUGCCGUGUAACUUUCAGCUUUUCCUUCUCUGUAUUUCUCUCUCUUUCUCUUUUAAAGAAUCAUUUUGUUCAGCUUUUGGCCUUCCUAGAUCCAUUCUGUAUAUUACUGACCAUGUCCUUCCUAAUUCUUAAUGCAGUUUCUUUCUGUACUAACUCGUGGAAGACAUAUUCAAUUUUACUCUCCAAUUUGAUUCACUUUUUAUUUCCAGAAGAAAAGUUAUUGUUCUUUGAUUUACCCUUUUACGUAACCUCUAUUUCUGGGCAUAGGAUACAUAUCUUUGCUUAUUUUCCUAAGGAUUAUAGAUUUUAAAAUCUUAUAUCCUUUUAUAUCUUUUUUCCUCUGGUUGUUUUGUUUUUAUUUAUUUUUCCUUGUAUUGGUCUUCCUCUUUCUGUUAGAGGUUUUCCUCACUUAUCUGGGGAAACUUGGCACUCUGUUAAUAAUUAACAGUGAGUCUUUAAAAGAUUGCCUGUAUGGCCUGAGUGUGUGUGCAGAACUUAUUGACCCAUAAACUCCUUUUGGGAGUAAUUGAACUGGAGUUCACAAAUGCAAACCAAUAAACAAAGCUGAUUUUUCCUUUCAUCAUUUAGUUUGUUAAAAAAAUAUCUUCACAUAUCUGUGGCAUGAAGAGGGCAGUUUAAGAAAGGGUGGCUGUGUAGUUCAACUAUUUCUUUUACAGGUAAUUGUGUCUCCCUGAGGCUGCUUCCAACUGAGUAACCCUUAGUCUAAACCUUUUUCAUCAAAUUAUACAGAAAAGUACUCUUUAAUCACCAGUGGAGGAAACCAGUAGCCUGACUGCUUGAGGUGAAAGAAGAAUGUAACUAUUCCAUGAGAGACUUUCAACACCUAUUUUUAGCCCCUCACCUCACCUCAGCCCUUCAUUAUCCUUGUACUUGCUGUCUCCAAAGCUUGAGAAUCUCAGGCUUUCCACUGCAGGCCUGUAGCUAAUUUACUCUUGGUAACCCAUCUCCAGGUGACUCAGAUCAUUGCUUCCUCUGCUCUGCUAAAUCCCUCCACCUGGUCCUAUAUUCCAAAACUGUGUUAAUUUUCUUAUCUCCUUAUCUUCUUCAUUAUUCUCUUCUUUUUUAAAAAAAAUAGGUUUUUACCUUUUUUGUUGUAGUUCCUUUACCUUCAAGUUAAUAGCAUCUCUGUUGUGGCUCAUGCCUAGAUAUUCCUCCAAAGCCUCAUGCAGUCUUUAUCAGAGGUGGCUGGAUCUAGUAUGUGAUGCUAGGAUUGAUUCAUGGUGCAAUGCUAGGCCCAAGGGCACUAGGAUUAAGGGUAUGAAUGCUGCCCGCCUUAAGUAAUCUGAAUAAGAUAAAAGGGGCAGAAAGACACUUACAUUCUCUUAUUGCUUUGCUACUAUCUGUCCACCAUGAAUUGUUGCCCCUCUACCACCCUGCUUGGCGCCAGCCAAUUAUGGAUUGAAACCUCUAUGAACUGUGAGCUAAAUAAACCCUUUCCUUUUUAACUUUGGGUGUCAGGUAUUUUGUCUCAGCAAUGAGAGAAAAGUAAGACAAUCUCAAAAAAGAGAGAAGAUUGAAAAAAACCCUGCCACUUAAAAAUAUACCCCAAUUAACUUUAGAUGGUUUGUCUAUUAAAGACAAUUCUCUUGGGGUUUUGUUAGGCUUGCUUUGGGUUUCUAGGCUAAUUUAAGAAUUGUCAUUUCUAUGUUAUUAUGUAUUCCUAUUUUAAGAACAUGGUAACCCUCUCCAUUUAUUUUGAGCACGGUGACCUGCAAGGUUACACAGUUUUCUUCAUGUUAUUCUUACUAGUAAAAACAUUUCUCUGAUGAACAGCAUGAGACACAAUUGGAAAGCAAAUUCAUGAGCUUGAAGAAUUACCUUAUGAAUUGACUUAGAAUACGGUGCAAAAAGACAAAAAGUAUGAUAGAGGACUAAGAGAUCCCCAAAAAUAGAUACAGCAAUUCCAACAGCAUUCUAAUAAGAAUUUCAGGAGAAGAAAACAGAAGAGAAGAAUUAAUUAUUUUUUAAAAUUUCCUGAAGUUGCAGAAUAAGGAAAACACGCACCCCUCCCAUACACCUUAAUCUACAUUGUGCAAAAUUUCAGAAAGGUAAAGAGAAAAUUUCAAAGGAUUCAAAAUAGAAAAUCACAUCAAUGGUUUAAUGUGAGGACUAUUUCUAUCCCCAUUUUAGAUAAGAAUUACCAACUGUAGAACCAGCAAAUAAAGCCUGCAAAUAUUUGCUUCUUCUGAGCAAGUUGUACCUAUUGUUCAUAUCGGACAGUCAGGUGGGUGCCACGUGUCAGCAUUGAAUUCCGAGUGUUGUCAUUGCCCACCAUUGAGGGGCUACUGAAUUGCAGCAGAUAGCACAGGACUCAUCUGUCCUCCCAGAUAUUGUAACACUUCCAGACUUCUUUCUCUGACCCUAUCCACUUGGAGAACCACCCUCUCCUCUCACUCUUAUAACACCUGAAAACCCCUGUUUGGAACAAAAGUUGAGACUUGGAUACUUCGUAUUCAAAAUCUUCAUUCCACUAGAAUGAAUGAGGAAUAUCCUUGAUAGGAAGGAAAACCUAGAGCAAAGUAUGAGGGUGCUCAAGUCCUCACAUACUUAAGCCCCAACCCCCUAGUUCCCUACCUUUAUUUAAAGGUCCAAAGAGAGAUAAAUACAUUCAUUCCAAGAUCCCCUUGAGAUUUCUAAGUGCUCUGUCCAGGACACUAAUAGAGUGUGAGACAAGUCAAAUGGUGUAGUAGCAUGUGUAUACACCUAUAUUUGAAGAAGUACAUUCCUUUGCUUAGGAGGGACACACCCAAACCACCUAACAAGGCAGGCUUUAUCCUUCCUUUUACAGUUGGAGAAAUGGUUGUAAAUGGCAUCCUAAAUAGUGUAUGAGCUUAAUGGGUAGUGCCUUCAAAUCAGGUAAUCAGAUUUUUCUCCUUCCAUUUUGAACUAUUUUAGAUACAUGGGUGAAUUGAAAUGUAUUUCUAAUAUGCCUUUGAAAACAUAACUUGGAGCUCUUUUCUGUACCAUUCCUGGUACUGGGAAAAGAAAGAAGAACAUGAGUCCCUUUCAAUGGGUAAAGAUUCUAGUUCCAUCAACUACUACUGUCCAGGCAGACUCUAAUAAGCCAUUAAAACUCCACAGUUCUUCAGUCCCUAAUCUUCACAUAGAAAUACUGCUGGCUUUGCCUACCUGACUCAGACUUUUUGUGUGUGGAUGUAGUCUGAUAAUAUAUAUGAAAAAGUUAUAGGAAAACCUAGAGGGCAUUAUCAUUUUCUUCUGAUGUCUUUUUAAAAAAUUUUAAAAUAACUUUAUUAUCAAACACACACACAAAAUUAAAACCAUUCAAAGAAGAACAAUGCAAGGGGAAAAAAACUACAAUAAUAUUCAAAUACAGUAGAAAUCAACCAAAACAAAACUGAAAAGCGCUUCAACAUUUUUCCAUAUAACUUAAAAAAGCAUCUCAAGCACCAACAAGACACCAGAGGAUGUGAUUUGUUUCAUAAAGAUCUCCAAAACCAACUGUGAACAAAUAAUGAUGUGGAAAAAAACUCCAGUUAGUUAGCAGACUCCACAUAAAGACAAACUUCUCCCUAAUUUAAAUUUCGACACAGUCAUCUGAGACGUGAUGGAAACACAAUCUGAGAAAUAUGUUAUUAAGCCAUUUCAUCUGUGUGUAUCCUUUGUUUUCAUUAAUCUGAGUUACUAAAUUAAAGCUGAAUUCAAAUUAUGAUUUCAUUUCACACAAGGAUGAGCAAUGUCUCUUUCUUGGUGUAUAGUGGUUGAAUCGCUUUCUCUCUUAUGUCCUACUAUCUCUUUUUCAUUGAGUGUUUUCAGGGUGUAUGUGAGUCAUUUAUGUCCUGGAUCAUGGUCUAACAUUCUCUGUUCUUCCCUUGAAGCAUGAAGAAGGAAGAUACGGUGCUACUGGCUGGCUGGAUCCUUUCUGAGCUGUACUAAGCAGUGAGAUCCAUAAUCUUUGAGCUUUCCAAAGGAUGUCCCAGUUGGGUCAGCAAGUAUGUGAACAUGCUCUCUGCAGCUUUAAAGAGAAUUGAAGAGUGAUUUGCCCAACUGGAGGAUGCUGUUGUGGGAAGCACAUCUGGCAGAAUCCAGAUGGAGGAUAUCUGGAACAGUGGGGACAACUGGAAUUCAAGGUUGAGAGAAACACAUCUAGGGGAUUUAGAGGUGCUUUGGGGAAGAGGGAGAAUGGGAAAGUCCUUGGUGUUACAAGCAGAAAAGAGUGAUGAUGUGGUGCUCUCCCAAUUCUCUAGUGUUCACUGAGCUGCUUGGGGUAGAGAAGAACACAGUUGAGUCACCUGGAAGCAGUUUGGAAUGACUUUUUCUAGGUGCUAUAAAUGAGAAAACAGCCUGAGACCAAGAAUGAAGAAAGCAGCUACUUGUCCAUCUUGUAGCAGAUGUUUGACCAGAUGGCCACUGCAUGGCCUUUGUUGAGAAGAAACCACCUGGCUUUUAAGGAUUCUACAGAAAUCAAGCAAUGGAUCAACAAGUGGAGAAAAGCACCUGUUAGAGAUGAGGAUCCACACUAGCUGCUUUGAGCUUGAAGAUGCAUGGCACAGUUGCUGUCUUCAACCAACCACUGAUUUAAAUGAAAGAUAAGAUGUAACAGUGGACGUUUUUCCUUGCUUCCCUAAUGUCUCUUGGGAAACCACGUUUCAGCAAUUCCUAAGUCAUAUGUAUGUGGCAGCACUAUCUCCAGAUCGAGGCCAUAAUUCCCAGGCCAAAAGCCAAGGACAAAGGGAUGGGUCAGUAGUACAAGUUGAGCCCAAAUAAAUAGCCCUACAUCUUCCCAGAGCUGUGACGAAGAGGCUCCAGUCUGUAGAAUGAGUCUCCAGCACCAAGAGUAUAGGGAGGAAAGGAAAGAGAGAAAGGAACAUUGGUUAGAUUGUGUUGUUGGAGCAUUGAUACAGCCUUGCCUGAAGUUCCCUGGAUUUCCCUGAAGACCUUGGGCUUUCCAGGUACAUGAUACAUAAUCUUCAUCCCCUUUUUUUCCUUGAGCCAGUGUAAGCUGGGUUUCUCUCCUUGUCAGCUGAAGAGCCCUAAGAAUUGGUACUUUACUUUAGUCAACUGGAAUGGCUUCUUAGACAGUCUGCUACCAUUCAUCUUCCGGACAUCAAGCCCAGCUGAGGGUUUUGGCAAACAAGCCCAGCAUGAGUGUUGAUAAAUUUGCUGUAACUGCCAGACUUUUCUGCUGGCUAUUUUAAGGUUGAUGUGUUUUCAGAAGCUAGGAGAGAAACUGCUAGGACACUUAUUUGGUGACAUGUAGAUUAAUCUGAUCUUCACUAGCAAUGCCCUCAUUUGAUCACAAUAACCAUUCCUAAUAAGACAUCCCUCUGUCCUAUAAAAUCAGUUUUCUACCUGUGUGAAUGCGAUCCAGAGGCAAUAUUUGAGGCAGCAUUUGAUUCUUUGGCUCUUAGUAUAAAUAUGGGAUGUAACUGAAUAUGUGACUUAUAACUUCAGUUACCUUUUCCAUUCAUAAUUCUGUGUUAGAAACUGAUCUAUAAUCUCAGAUGAGUCACAGCUGGGAUUACUAAAAGAGAAAAUUCAGCCCAGGCUUAGGGUAACAGAAAAGACAAGAGAUAUUUUUGAAAUAUAUUUGAUAUUUCCAGGACCCUCACCUUCACCCAAGAUACCAACAUCCAAUGUUGCUCAGGAAUCUUACAUAUAAUGGCAUAGUAUUUGUGUAUAACCUACAUACAUCUUCCUGUAUAGUUUAACCAUCUCUAAAUUGCUUACAAUAUAUAAUCAAUAUAAAAUCCACAAAAUAGCUAUUAUGCUAUAUUGCCUAGGGAAUAGUGACAAGGAAACAUAGUUACUAGAGAAACAUAAAAAUAUUUUCAAUCCAUGGUUGGUUGAAUCCACAGAUACAGAAAACAUGGUUAUGGAGGGCUGACUAUAUUCAUUUUGUAAGUUAGAAUUGUAUUGAUGUUCAAUUAUAUAUUAGUCGGGAGUGAGAAAUAUACCAUAAUUUAGCCUCUGAAUAUUUUAAUCUAUUUCUAAAUGCCAAGCAAAGAAAUAAAAACUAAAAAAGAAACAGAAGAAAAAUGUAUACUACUGUGAGAAAUGUGGUCUAAAUAAAGAACAAGGAAAG